rnacentral:lncRNA from 1 species
AGUGCAGCACCCUUCCCGAAUCCUCGUCCUUCUCGCCGGUGAUUCACUCGCUGUCUCCUUCGUCCUAAUCCUCACUCCCUCCUCUAGGGUUCUUUGAUCUUGAGCAAGAUGGUCUCCUUGUAGUAGAUGAUGGUGAUCAGUAGUGGGGGCUAGAAGUGGGUGCCGGUGAUUCUCAUCUGAUCUGGUCGAGCCCGUCAGAUACAUAGUUUUUUGGUGCAUGAUAUAAUUAUGCAAGUAUUAGUAGUGGAGGUUAGGGGUGGAGGGAGGGAGCACAGUAGUGGAGAUCGGUGCUAGAAGGAGGUGGGCGAGACUGCGUGCGUACAACGUGGAAAUUGUUAUUAAGAUUGGUGUCAAUUAUUGUUUCCUAUGAUCAUAACUUUGUUGGUGUAAAAAUUAUUAUUAAGAGUCAGCUGUUAGUUUUAAAUAUCGAAGUCACAUUGUGCUUAUAUAUUGAAUAUGUUAUGAACCUCGGCU